GCAAACUUGGUCAUUUAGAGGAAGUAAAAGUCGUAACAAGGUUUCCGUAGGUGAACCUGCGGAAGGAUCAUUAUUGAAUUUAAACAAAGGGAAAUUUAGGUUGUAGCUGGCUCCAUUAAUUUGGAGCAUGUGCACGCCUUGUACUCUUUUUUAAUCCACACACACCUGUGAACCUGUGAGGCAGAGACAUGGAUGGGAAAACUUUCAUUUAUUUUAAAUUAAUGAUUGGGACCCCUACCCACCUCUGUCUACUCAACUCUAAUAUAAACCCAAUUUAUUUUAAAACGAAUGUAAUGGAUGUAACGCAUCUAAUACUAAGUUUCAACAACGGAUCUCUUGGCUCUCGCAUCGAUGAAGAACGCAGC
rnacentral:misc_RNA from 1 species